CCUACGGGAGGCAGCAGUGAGGAAUAUUGGUCAAUGGGAGAGAUCCUGAACCAGCCAAGCCGCGUGAGGGAAGACGGCCCUAUUGGUUGUAAACCUCUUUGGUCGGAGAACAAAACCCGGGACGUGUCCCGGACUGCGUGUAUCCGAAAAAAAAGCAUCGGCUAACUCCGUGCCAGCAGCCGCGGUAAUACGGAGGAUGCGAGCGUUAUCCGGAUUUAUUGGGUUUAAAGGGUGCGUAGGCGGUCCGUUAAGUCAGGGGUAAAAUUGCGGGGCUCAACCCCGUCGAGCCGUUGAAACUGGCAGACUGGAGUUGGAGAGAAGUACGCGGAAUGCGCGGUGUAGCGGUGAAAUGCAUAGAUAUCGCGCAGAACUCCGAUUGCGAAGGCAGCGUACCGGCGCCAGACUGACGCUGAGGCACGAAAGCGUGGGGAUCGAACAGGAUUAGAUACCCCUGUAGUC
rnacentral:rRNA from 1 species